rnacentral:rRNA from 1 species
GACGAACGCUGGCGGCGUGCUUAACACAUGCAAGUCGAACGGUAAGGCCCUUCGGGGUACACGAGUGGCGAACGGGUGAGUAACACGUGGGUGAUCUGCCCUGCACUUCGGGAUAAGCCUGGGAAACUGGGUCUAAUACCGGAUAGGACCACUGCCUGCAUGGGUGGUGGUGGAAAGCUUUUGCGGUGUGGGAUGGGCCCGCGGCCUAUCAGCUUGUUGGUGGGGUGAUGGCCUACCAAGGCGACGACGGGUAGCCGGCCCGCAAGGGUGACCGGCAAAACUGGGGCUGAGAAACGGCCGAUACUCCUACGGGAGGCAGCAGUGGGGAAUAUUGCACAAUGGGCGCAAGCCUGGUGCAGCGAGGCCGCGUGAGGGAUGACGGCCUUCGGGUUGUAAACCUCUUUCAGCACCGACGAAGCGCAAGUGACGGUAGGUGCAGAAGAAGGACCGGCCAACUACGUGCCAGCCGCCGCCGUAA